rnacentral:tRNA from 1 species
GUCCAGGAACGGGAAUCGAACCCACAACCUUCUGCUUACCGGGCAGGUGCCAUGUCCACUAGGCUACCCUGGA